AGAACUUAGUCUUACUGGGUUGUUUUAGCUUCUCAUUUUCUGCAGCCUUUUGAGAGAAAAUCUUUAUGAAAAUAAUUUUUUCAAAACUUGCUUAUUAUUUAUUGCAUUUAAAAUUUUUUGUUUGGGGUUAAAAACUGAACAGAUGAUUCAUCAUUGGCAAGUGCAAAGUUAAUUUAGAUAUUUACUUAUAUAGCACCCUUUAAGAAUCAACACCUAGAAAAAGAAAUUUUUUGAUUGCUUGGGAUGAACAAGGUAACCUGCCAUUUUCAUUAUUUAAUACUUAGACAUAUUUCUGUUGAGGACAUCUCUUGAUAUGAAUUUAAAAUGAACAUCAAUGUUUUGCAAUGGUCUUGCUGUUGAAAAAUCAAACUAAAUAAUUAUGCAGGCAUUCAUCUAUUUACCAUCAGGUGUGCUUAACUCUAUUCGUCAAGUCUGUUAUCUGCAAGCUGUUCAUAGUGGCUCUUGGAGCAACCUAUUGCUGAUUUACUGUUAUCAAUGUUGCUGCAUUACAAUCAUUGAUAUAUCUGCUAUAACUCCUCAUGAGAACAACAACUAUUUUAUUUCUAAAAUGUCGUUGUUGCUGUAACUGAAGAAUAUUUCAGAUUUGAUGCUCUUCAUUUUCAUACAGUUUCAGCUCCAGAUAUAUCUAACUUAAGUACACAAUAAUGAAAGUCUGUUAGAUCAGACGUGUUCAAUUGUAGACAACUUUCACAUUCUAUGUAUUGAUUCUUAAAGUAUUUAUACACAUACACACACACACACACACAUAUAUAUAACCAAUCUAGAGUGAACUUAGCUUAUUUUUAAUCAGGGUAGAUGCAAUCUAUAAUUACUCAUACAGAAUAAGAGUAUAUGCAACUGUGUGUAUGGAUAUUUGUUGAGUUUUUAAAGCUAUAUAUUUUGUUUAUACCUGGAAACAGAAUUUUUACCUAGAAUGAAUUUUGUGACAUUUGAAGGGAUUUAUUAUAUGUGGUGUAUGCUCAUAAUUAUUUUACAUCCACUUUUCCAUACUUGCACAUACUGGACCAGUCUUUUCUACCAUUUGUUAGAUGGGUCUUCUUACCAUUUAUUGUGGUUUAACCUCUUGAGAUCACCAUUUCCUACAGUUAGCUUAGUUUUCUUCUUCCACACGAUCCUUCCAUUUGGAUCACUUGGCACUUCUUUACCCUAUUGUCAUGUGCCAUAUGCAUCAUAUGUCCAUACUGGUGUAGUCUUCUGUCUUGCAUGCUAUGUUUGAUUACUCUUAUACCCAGGCUUUUUCUCAGUUCAUUUGUGCGCCAUUGUUCAUGCACACUAACAUUCUACACCCAGCAGAGCAUGUUUGCUUAAUAUCUUUUCUGCCUUUGCACUGCCUCUGCAUUCAGUGCCCAUGUUUUGCUACCAUGCAACAUUGCACUUCAGACACAAGCAUCAUGCAAUCUGCCCUUCACUCAGAGAAUCGCCUUUGUUGCCUGCAGAAAUGGCAGCUCACUGGACUUUUUCUACCCUGUUCUUAUUUUGGCUAAUGUAUUCUCAGAAUACGUUCUGUCCACUGUUAAUUAGACCAUCUAGGUAACAGAAGCUAGCUAAUACUUUUAGAGAGCCUUGCUAUCAUAUGAAAGAAUUUAUCUCAUAUUGCUCUUGCUGCUAACUACUUCUAAGCAUUUACUAUAUAUAUGAAGUCUUUCUCUAGCCUAUCUGUAAUCCUACUUCAUCUCUUGAGUGUCCAGACUUCUCAUUUGGUAUACUGUACAGAGUUCUUACCCACCCUUUUUCGGCAUACUGUGCAUGGCUACUUUCCUGAUGGCAAUAGUCUUGUCUGCUUUCCUUUACUCGAAGGCCUCUUAAUUCCAAGCUUUGCUUUUGUGUUUGGCUGUUAUUAAGUGAACUAGGUUAUUGACAUACAGAACAUCCUAUGAACGAGCAGUCUUAAACCCCUCCAUUACAAUCUAAAGAGUUAUGAUAAACAGGAGCAGGUUUGAGAACCAAGCCUUGAACCUGCUGACUGAAUUCCACAGUAAACUCUUAACUGACUUUCAAAUUGCUGGUGGCUUGCAUGGAUUUUCACACACCAUUUGUCUAAAUCUGUGGUCAACAGAUAACAGAGCAUGGAACCCUGUUGAAGCCUUCAUCGGGUCAACAAGCUAAGUAUAGUGGCUUACUCUUAGCUAAGAAAUUUUGCAGUUGUCUUCACUAUGAAGAGGGCACUGUGAUAACCUGUCUUGGUGCUGACCCAUUCUUUUUAUUUAAGCUAAUUCUUUUCUUAAUUUGCUAUACUAUUGCUAUUUCCAUAAUUUGGUGUAUCUGAUGCUUCUGUAGUUGUUUCUUUUUCAAGCACUUCUUUUAUCCUUGUAGUAGCUGAGAUUCGUUAGUCAUUAAGUAUCACAAACCCCUGAAUUUCUUGACUGGCUAUAAACCAAGGCUUCUAUGUGAUCAUUCAACCUUUUAAAAUAGCAGCCAAGUCCCCAUCAAAUUGCAGUUAGAAAAGGAAGUUGAAUGUGAUCCUGGGUUCCCUUCAUAUAGGAAAUCUAUGAAAUGUUUAUGGCUAGAAUGACUUUGGCUGUAGGUUUGCUUGAUCAGGGCUGACCUUGGUCUAAACAACAACCUGUUUGAUUAUGCAAAUAACUAAGUAUCCACACUUUUACCAGAUAAUCUCUGCAUCUCAACUCUAUCUCUCAUGUUUUAGUUACAUUUUCUGUCUUCAUAUCUUUAAAUGUCCUUUUAAACCAUUUUGUCAGCUUUUCACAUUAAACCAUUUAAGUUUAACAUAUAGAAACAGGUUUUAUUACUUCCUUGCAGUAAUCAGUUUUGGUAAUUCAUACUAAAUUUAUGAGUUUGAACUAAUGUAUUGAUAGAGGUGUGAAAAGUGACCAUAGCUUUGAGUCUAUAUUCAAAAUUUCUUACGUCUUGUCAUAUUUUUUUGUUAUAUCUAUUCUAUAAUUCAGCUGAAAAAUUGGUUUUGUAAUGGGUGAAGUCAUCUUGUGGAAUAUUAUUCAUGUAAGGCAUGUCUGAUAGGUUAUGAAGUGGUCAGUGUUUUUAGGCUUGAACUGGUUUUGAUUUGUAUUAUAGUUUUAGUUUGUGUUUAUAUUAGGAGUAUAAAGAAAAUACAAGUUCAGAGAAUUGCAAAACGAAUCUAAGGUAUAAAGUUGUCUGGCUGAUAUUUUUUUGAUAG
rnacentral:lncRNA from 1 species